UACGUAGGGAGCAAGCGUUGUCCGGAAUCAUUGGGCGUAAAGCGCGCGUAGGCGGCUCGAUCAGUCUGUUGUGAAAGUCAAAGGCUCAACCUUUGAAAGCCGAUGGAUACUGUCGAGCUAGAGUCCGGAAGAGGCGGGUGGAAUUCCUGGUGUAGCGGUGGAAUGCGCAGAUAUCAGGAGGAACACCAACGGCGAAGGCAGCCCGCUGGGACGGUACUGACGCUAAGGCGCGAAAGCGUGGGGAGCGAACAGG
rnacentral:rRNA from 1 species